CUACGGGGCGCACCAGUGAGGAAUAUUGCACAAUGGAGGAAACUCUGAUGCAGCAACGCCGCGUGGAGGAUGACGCAUUUCGGUGUGUAAACUCCUUUUAUGAGUCAAGAAAAUGACGGUAGCUCAUGAAUAAGCACCGGCUAACUCCGUGCCAGCAGCCGCGGUAAUACGGAGGGUGCAAGCGUUACUCGGAAUCACUGGGCGUAAAGGACGCGUAGGCGGGAUAUCAAGUCAGGUGUGAAAUCCUACAGCUUAACUGUAGAACUGCACUUGAAACUGGUAACCUAGAGUAUGGGAGGGGGAGAUGGAAUUAGUGGUGUAGGGGUAAAAUCCGUAGAUAUCACUAGGAAUACCUAAAGCGAAGGCGAUCUCCUGGAACAUAACUGACGCUAAGGCGUGAAAGCGUGGGGAGCAAACAGGAUUAGAUACCCGGGUAGUC
rnacentral:rRNA from 1 species